UACGUAGGGUGCAAGCGUUAAUCGGAAUUACUGGGCGUAAAGCGUGCGCAGGCGGUUUUGUAAGUCUGACGUGAAAUCCCCGGGCUCAACCUGGGAAUUGCGUUGGAGACUGCAAGGCUAGAGUUUGGCAGAGGGGGGUAGAAUUCCACGUGUAGCAGUGAAAUGCGUAGAUAUGUGGAGGAACACCGAUGGCGAAGGCAGCCCCCUGGGUCAAGACUGACGCUCAUGCACGAAAGCGUGGGGAGCAAACAGG
rnacentral:rRNA from 1 species